rnacentral:lncRNA from 1 species
GCUAUAGCUCUGGAUUUUUUGCAGAUUUUCAAAUAAAACUCAGAGAUUCCUUUGUAUGACUCUCUCAUAUCUCUCUUUUGUGGUAUUUCUGGAUCCUUACCAAGGCAGUGACGGUAUAUGCCUUCUCUCAAGAUAUGUGGUAUUUGUGGUAUAAGGCAUAGUGACAUUGCCUUCUCUCUCACCCUACUCUAAUAAGGCUUUAAUAUCUGGAGCUCAUAGGUGGGAGAUAAAGUAUACAUACUUACAAGACAUUUAUUGUAUAGUCAAACCAUGGAUCCAAAGAAACAAAUCAAUAAGCCAAAUCAAGAUGUGCAUGUGUGGCGAAUGAAUAGUGUAUGGUGAUGAUGGUGAUAACAAUGGUGAAAGUCUAAUUCUACUUUUGCUCUUUUGAGGGGAUACAUACCUUCCUUGCUUUUUGAAACUUUAUGAGGAGAAUGAGAUGCUCUUCUUUUUCUUUUUCUUUUCAGGUGGGUAUCCUGUACCCCUAAUUCUACUGUCGGACACUUGUCCAUUUUUACCUCUCGUCUCACUCUUUUUCUUUUCUUUCGAGGUUUCGGGCACUUGCCCCUUUUUAUUUCCUCGUUUAUUUAUUAUUAGUUUUUUCUUUUCUUUUUUUUUCAGAGCACUCAUCUCCUGAAAUAAUGUAGCAAGUGGUAGUAACCAAAAUAACUGGAGUAUUUAUUUCACAGGGAAUAACAGGGAUAGGAAAAUGUUUUUGGCUAUUCUCUCCCGGAUUAGGAGUAGAAUGAUUUUAGGUGAAACUGGAGGUGGAAAUGGAUGGAUAUAUGUGGAUGGUACUUCCGGAGUAGAAGUAGCAUAUAUGAGUGAACGUGCAAGUGAAUCUUGAUUUAACCACAUGACAAGCUCCUAAGGGUCUACACAGCUUGACCACACUCAAUGCUCAUAAGCAGUAAAUAAAUGUGUGGCUCAAAGUCUAGCAAGCAUGUAUAUAUGGCUGUGGUAGGAAUUUAAACUUUCAUCAUACAAGAACUCAUCAUGCAAUAUUUUAAAGAUUUUUCAAAGAUAAAAUUCUCCAGAAUUCUAGCAUCUCUAGGAACAGAUAAACAACAGCUCAACCUUCCCAUAUCAUAUCCGUUAACAACUUAGAUUUCAGAUCAAGUUUUCAUCCCACAAGUUUAGAUCUAGAGCAAGCUUUAAAUUAUAACAGUUAUGUCUAAACUUGAGAGAGAACUUCAAAUUUGCAAAUUAGACAGAGCAACUAUUCAUCAUAUCCAUGCUAGAGUUUUAUUAUUAAAAUUCAGAUUAGCAUGGACACUUUAUUUAUUUAUUAAACACACUAAGCAAAAGAUAUAUAUAUAAGCACAAAAUCUUUAUUUGGUUUUUCAUAGUUUAUGCAUUUUAAUAUUCUAAUAUAAUAUAAGUAUAAAGAUAGGUAGAAAUACUUAGCGAGAUAAAUGGGGGUGCUCUCCCCCAAGCUGAAUUUUGACGUAAUUUCUCUUGAUGUAGCUAGCAGGUGGCAGAGGUGUAUUUGAAAGUCAGCAGCAUUGUGACAGCGAUUAGAAUGUCCUCCAUCUGCUAGUCUUCUUAAUUCUUAAAUUCUGUGGAGCCCAAAUAGACAACAAAGCUUGUGGAACUAAUUAAGUGUUAGCAUAAAUAUCUAGCCUUCAUCACGUUGAGCUUCCUUAAUAAAUAUUACUCCUUGUUUUUAUAUUUUUAUUUUAUAAAGUAAAAAAGAAAUAUUUAUUUUAUUUUUAUGCCACCACAGUGAAGGUACUUAUGGGUUUUGUGCCACUCGUAUACCCACAUGGGGCUUAGUAGUUUUUAAAUUUUUUUUUUCUUUUCAAGAUAGCAUGAUUUACUAAUAAUCUAUUUAAGGAAAGUAAAUAAUUAAAGGGAAAAGGGAAUGUAGAAAGGAUAAAUAUGGAUAACUACCAAUCUUACCUUUCGGCGAGGGUUCAAUGUUUUAAGUCUUCUUUACAAGACUUCUCACCGUGUUUAUUCUUCAGGUGCGUCAUUUGAUUCAGGUGCGGACCUUGACGUCUGCACCUUUUAAUACGGUGUCACCCAUGUUCUUCGUUUGCCCAGCAGUUCGAAGUGAGGUGUUAGCAGUAUCUUGCUCAGUGUGUUUGUGCUCGUAGUGUACCUGCUCAUAGAGACAAGGCAGAGAUCCAGUGCAUGGGCCCUGUUGGUGGAAAACACCAACAGAACCAAAAGUGUAUUUGUUCUUCUCUAACCUUAAGCAUAGUGAGCAAGACAAGUUGAUGGAUGAUAAGUUCAUGAGUGUAGCACUUAUAACAUUUGUCAGAUCAGAUGGCUCAACCUUAUGGAAAGAUAAUCUAUCUAUGUAUAUGUCUUUUUCUUUAUAUCUCUCAAUGAUUGAAUGUGUAACAUCUUAGCUCAUAUGAUUAGGAGUGUGGGAUCAUGGAGGUAGUACUAAGAACAAGGAUUAAAGGACUAAACAUGUUUAAUCAGAUGGGUUGGUUAAUCUAGAGUUGUAAAUCAUACACGUUUGUCUCUUUUAUUUAUAGGAACGCCAUAACCAAGGAGAAGCUUAUAAAAGUGAUAGUCAAGUACCUUAAGAUGUUACCUUGCUCGAAGAGUGAUGGUACAGUAUCAUCUUGUGGAAGCUUUCCUUUCUUAGCGGUUAUGCGUCGUGUUUGUGGCACCCUCCAUGGAUCAUCUCUCUAUGAUGAAUGAGCUAUGUCCUUCUUGUGCAAAUUGUUAAACUUCAUGUGUCACUCUCUUCGUCUCUGAUGUGAGUUUAUCUUAGGACUUCCCAAAUCGGUAUUGAAAGUUUUCCUGCAGGGGUUAGUCCGACAAAAUAUACCAAUAUCUACUCAAGCAGUUUUUUUUAGUUCAAUAACCAAACUAGACUCCAUGUCUAAUCAGAUUAAGGAAGGCUAUUUAACCUAAGCACCAUGCUUAAUUUAAAUGCCAAUGGAAGUAUGGCGAGUACUUCCAAACCAACACUUGCUAGUAAAUAGACAAAGGUAGCAUGACAACAUUUAUAGAGAUUUACUCAAGUGGAGAUGAAGUAGUGUGAUUAGUAUUUAACAAAUUGAGCAUGUCUCAAAGGUAGGGACAACCAGCAUAGCAACAUGGCAAAGGAUGUUUUUAUGUAAAGUACUCCCCCAAGCUUGAAUUUUACAAAAUUCAAGUUUGGAUGAAUUUAAUUCAAUGUUGUAUGAUGAUUGGUUGGACAUACCUUGUACUUGUCAUUCAUCCCAUCUUCUUGCUCCAAUCCUGGAA